UAUAACAUGCAUACAGGACAACAUCAAUUGGUUAUAUUGUUGUAUCCAUCUAUUCACACCGCAAAAUCUUUGAUAUCAAAAAGGUUGAGAGCCCACUAAUCCAUUUGCAAGUGAUUUUGUUCAGCUUUUUAUCUAUGUAUAAAUUUUUUCGAUUGUGUUUUAAUUGUAGAGAAUCAUGAUUUGACAAACCACCACACUUCACUAUUGAAGAAACAUAAAUUAUAGAACAACACAGUAAUUCCACCACUACUUUUCUCACGUUAAAGUAACAAAAAUUGACAUUUCUACUUUCUCUCUCUUAGCAUUGGCAG
rnacentral:misc_RNA from 1 species